rnacentral:tRNA from 1 species
GGCGACGUAGCCAAGUGGUAAGGCAGGGGUCUGCAAAACCCUUAUUCGUCGGUUCAAUUCCGACCGUCGCCUCCU